AUAUGUUUCAUCUGUCACAGGUCUUUUGUAUACCAACAAUGAGAGCGGCUUACCAGGACACUGAUAGUACUGUACAGCUAGUGGACCAAUGAUAUAAGACUACUCUGCUGUUCACUCUUUAGUAGCUGGAUAUCAGUCCUAAUAUUUUGAGUAUUGCAGCACACAAGUAAUGCUAUGCAGGAGAAGACCCGGACAUCCCUAGAAUGACCCAGCCCAAAGAAUGCCCUGGACAGAUUUCAUGAAGAUUGAUUGGACUUGAUCCAUCAUUUUACGGAAAAUUAAUUAUUUCAAAUACAUGCACCACUUUAUGCAACCUGCCUGAUUUGCAUUGAGGAAAAUUCAGCAGAAGUAAUUGAGGCACAAGCAAAUACUGGCACUGACUGAACUCAAUUUUCAAUCCAAAUUUCUGCAAAAUCCCAAGACACAACAAUAUCAGAUGCAAGGGGGAAAACAAACAAAAGCAAUGUGAAAAGGGAACAUGAAGAGAGAAUAUUACAAGAAUCAGAGAACAAAGGGAUAGCAAAACUAUUUUAGUGCCAUAGAUGAACAGUGAGGGCUUCAUUCAGGCAAGGUGGAAUAAGAUAUCAUAUGGCAUCCUGACAAUUGAUGUCUUCAUUUAAAUAUUUUCAGUUUCAAGUGAUAAACUACUACCAAAAGAAAAUUUGAGACAUUGUGAUUAUUUUAUAACCACUGGAAAAAGAAC